GACGAACGCUGGCGGCGUGCUUAACACAUGCAAGUAGAACGAAGUGGCGAACGGGUGAGUAAUACGUGGGUAACCUGCCCUCCUUUUUGGGAUAAGCCUUGGAAACGGGGUCUAAUACCGAAUCAAGGGGGAUGGGAUCGCGGCCUAUCAGCUUGUUGGUGGGGUGAUGGCGUACCAAGGCGGUGACGGGUAGCCGGCCUGAGGCGGUGAUGGGCCAGAGUGUGGCUGGGAUACGGCCCGGAAUCCUACGGGAGGCAGCAGUGGGGGAUAUUGCGCAAUGGGCGCAAGCCUGGUGCAGCGAGGCCGCAGGGUGGAUGGAGGCUUACGGGUUGUAAACAUCUUUCGCUGUCGAUCGGGUAAGUGGAGAGGAAGCGCCGGCUAACUACGUGCCAGCAGCCGCGGUAAUUC
rnacentral:rRNA from 1 species